rnacentral:lncRNA from 1 species
GGAAAUAGUUAAAGCAUCCGCAGAUGGUCACUCCAUAUCGUUGGGGAAGAAAGCAAGUUAGGAAGCAGCACGUGUGAUAGGAUCUCGUUGGAGAGGACAAAGCAAACACUACGCACACAUACCUUGAGGUGUCACAAUGACCAGAAGUAUUCACCCAGACUGUAUUUUCGGAUUACUGCAUUAUAGGAAAUUAUCACAGCCACCAGUGGGAAGACAGUCAGUGGAUGGAUCUUGGACAUGACCUUGCUCCUUAGUGACCCAUGACAGUCACCCUGGAGUUGUCAGCGAACGAGGAGGAAUCUGCUUGGAGAGGUUGAGGAAAAAGGAAGACAUCUUUCUGGUAUUCCUGAGUUACAAUGUGGAGGAACCCCCGCCGCCCUGCUUUCUGGUUUGGAGCUUGUGUCCACAAGAGUGCAGUACCACUGACAGAACUGGAGAAGCUGGAGAGAGACAUUGUUUCAGUGUGAGGAUGACGCGUGAAGCCAUUCAGCCAAAUAUUUGGACCCUUCAUCCCUGAGAGGUCGGAGAUCUGCAUGCUAUCCUAGACUUUGACAACCUACUAGGUUGUCAACUUAAGCAUAUCUUGGCAAAUGUGUAUCACGUCAAUAUAGAUCACUUGACUUGAGUGAGAA